UGCCUGGGACUACGUAUUCAGCCUGGACCUUCUCUGUGCACAACUGGGCUGGAUUUGGACCGUCUCCCAUGUUAUACAGUACUGAAUGUGAAACUGCUUCAACUUGGUUAAUUCUCAUCUUUCUAGUUUUUUAAACAUUAGAUAAAUUGCAAACCGGACAGUGUGUGUCCCAAAUACUGCAAACGUUCUAUUCUUGUUGCAUAAACUUACAAUUGAUGGUAUUCUAUUACUGCCACAAAAACACUUAAUGUGUCCAAUUUUUUAUUUAUCAGAAAAAGUGUGUGGCUCAUCUUGAAUACUUUGCUAAAACAAUCACAAACAAAUGAAACAAAGUACAGAAACGUCUCUGUAGCAGCAAUUUUCAGGCUACUUGGGCGACUUGGCCAUAAUGGCCUUAAAGAGAACGUGGCAGCAUCAGUGGAGGAUCUGGUGAAAAGCAUAACUGAGUUCAGGGGACAAAAAGAUUUGCCGUGGGAGGUGCAGCUCUCAGUGGUUUAUGCCACUCAUGAUCUGGCACCCAGCAGCCCCAAAGUCGCUCUGAACGCUUUAGAAUCGUGGAAGAAAGACCUCACAAAGUCCGUUCCUCCAGCCGUCCCCAAGUGCCUGAAGCAGAUCAGCUUCCCCUGUUCUCACAUGAAGUCAAGAAAAAUUCUUACAUUAAAUAAUGUUUAAUAGAUUUUUUA